GUGUCAGCAGCCGCGGUAAUACAGAGGUGCCAAGCGUUGUUCGGAUUUAUUGGGCGUAAAGGGUGCGUAGGUGGUGAUGCAAGUCGGGUGUGAAAUCCCGGAGCCUAACUCCGGAAUGGCAUUCGAAACUGCAUCGCUCGAGGUCUGGAGAGGUGACUGGAAUUCUCGGUGUAGCAGUGAAAUGCGUAGAUAUCGAGAGGAACACCAGAGGCGAAAGCGAGUCACUGGACAGAACCUGACACUGAGGCACGAAAGCCAGGGGAGCAAACGGGAUUAGAAACCCCGGUAGUCC
rnacentral:rRNA from 1 species